GAGAUAUAGGUUCUUCUGUGAUAACACAGAAGAUUAAUAGGGAAACCGGUUAGAAUCCGGUGCAAACCCAUUGCUGUAUUCAGUUACGAAUCUCAAAUAUGCCACUGUGAAAUAUUCAUGGGAAGGCUUGAGAAGAGGAUGAUCUGUAAGCCAGAAUACCUGCCUAUAUCUUA
rnacentral:ncRNA from 1 species